CUUUGAUUAACAAACAAAUUAACUAAUAAGCAAAAGGGAAAAUUAGGGUUAAGAAAUAUGACGCAUCAGCUUAUUCACCAACCUUCCUUCUUCGUUCAAUCUCGCAGACGGCGCCUCCAAGCUCAUCUUCUCCGACGAAAAGCUCCGCCACCGCCGCUAACAAACCGAAUCAACCUUUCAGCUCUCAUACACGGAUCCCUCUCCUUCUUCUCUCAUGAACGGCGCGGCGGCCAAUCCUCAACCUCCGAUGAAACAUCGCUGCGUCCGGCCACCUCCGCUCUCAUCAAUUUCCCUCCGUCUCAAUCUCAUGUUCUCCUUCGAUUCGGAAUUUUUACCCUCUUCGCUCUGAUCUCGUUCUCACAUUCUACGACCAACUCAAACACUUGCAGCAACGACCUGAGAACUCAACCUUCUCCGACAAAGACUCGAUCUACUUCGUCAUACUUCUGAUCCGACGCGCUAUGGAUUGUGAAUCGUAAGGAUUAUUGAUGCAAUGAAGGAGUUUUGUCGAAGAUGUGUGUUAAAGAUUUGUUGAAAUGUAUUACACGACGGAGCGAAUUCGACGAUGCUUGAUAACUUUUCUGAAGAAAUUCACAGUGGAAAUCGAGAGAGUGAAGAUGAAACGUGACGUUUGAUGAUGAGUUCUGAUGAAGAUUGAAGGUGAUUUUCUGAGUUUUCUGAUGAGUGAGGUUGUUGUUGUGGCACGAAGGCAAGGCUUCUUGAUUGAAGAAGUGAAUUGGAGUGUGAAGGAGGAACUCGAUUCAGAUGUUGAAGAUGAUGAAUCAGUGAUGAAUUCCGGAUCGAGAAAAGGUUGUGAAGAUUCGGUGAUUGAGGAGUGAUGAUUCAAGAUUGGAGGGUCCUUGGAGAAGAUUGCUGGCUUCGGUUUUGCGGUGCCAGUGAUUAGUCUUGGGCGGGAUCCCUCCUUUGUGAAUGCAAGAUAGCUUUCUCUUUUAAGUGUAGCAAGUCGGUUCCACCUUUGUUCAUUUGUCUGUAACAUGGUGAAUGCAAUAGUAUAGGAGUAGUACAAAAAAUAGCGUGGAGGUUUUGGUCAUGAAGCAGGAGGUAGGCACCAAGUGGAGUACACAAUAACACAAUAGGAACCUCUUGAAAAAUGGACUUAUGGAAAUCAAUGGUUUUUUGUGUGUAAUAUUUCUUGUAAUAGAUUUGUAGUGGACUUGGACUCUUGAGAAUUUUUGUAAUCUUGUACAAGUUUGAAUGGGCUUUUCUUGAAUUUGAAUGGAUGAUAACCAUAAUGAU